AUGCUCGUUUCGGCAGCACAUACACUAAAAUUGGAAUGAUACAGAGAAGAUUACAUGGCCUCUUCACAAGGAUGGCAGGCAAAUUCAUGAAGCGUUCCAUAUUUUU
ensembl:snRNA U6 U6 spliceosomal RNA